UACGAAGGGGGCUAGCGUUGUUCGGAAUUACUGGGCGUAAAGCGCGCGCAGGCGGUCUUCCAAGUCAGUGGUAGAAAGCCCGGAGCUCAACUCCGGAAUUGCCAUUGAAACUGUUAGACUUGAGGAUGAGAGAGGUGAGUGGAAUUCCCAGUGUAGAGGUGAAAUUCGUAGAUAUUGGGAAGAACACCGGUGGCGAAGGCGGCUCACUGGCUCAUUACUGACGCUCAGGCGCGAUAGCGUGGGGAUAAACAGG
rnacentral:rRNA from 1 species